UUUGGUUCCUUCCUGAAGCUGGAGCCAUCCUCAAGCACACUCAUUGUUUUGCCCCUCAGGGAGAAAUGCUGCCUUCCAGGGGGGACGUGCUUUUGCAAUCUGCUGAUUUUGCAUUUAAAAGGGACAGCCUUGCCACACUGAGAUCCUCC